rnacentral:rRNA from 1 species
GUUGAACGCUGGCGGCAGGCCUAACACAUGCAAGUCGAACGGUAACAGGAAGAAGCUUGCUUCUUUGCUGACGAGUGGCGGACGGGUGAGUAAUGUCUGGGAAACUGCCUGAUGGAGGGGGAUAACUACUGGAAACGGUAGCUAAUACCGCAUAACGUCGCAAGACCAAAGAGGGGGACCUUCGGGCCUCUUGCCAUCGGAUGUGCCCCGAUGGGAUUAGCUAGUAGGUGGGGUAACGGCUCACCUAGGCGCCGAUCCCUAGCUGGUCUGAGAGGAUGACCAGCCACACUGGAACUGAGACACGGUCCAGACUCCUACGGGAGGCAGCAGUGGGGAAUAUUGCACAAUGGGCGCAAGCCUGAUGCAGCCAUGCCGCGUGUAUGAAGAAGGCCUUCGGGUUGUAAAGUACUUUCAGCGGGGAGGAAGGGAGUAAAGUUAAUACCUUUGCUCAUUGACGUUACCCGCAGAAGAAGCACCGGCUAACUCCGUG